rnacentral:lncRNA from 1 species
ACAUGGCACGGCCCCUGCGGAACGCUCUGUCGUAAGGUGAUUGUCCCAUGCCUGACAGUUCGACCACCACUGCUCUGCACACUUUGUUUCCUCCUGUGGGGACCACUGGCAGGCAGCGCCUUCACGUCCAUGGCUGAAGUCCAGUAUGGCUGACGGAUUUCGAAAGGAGAGGACGGACGUGUGCUUUUCUCUCCCACCUGACUGUCCUUAUUUUGGAAUUUGAAGUGGAUAAUGGAGGAGAUGGUAAUCCACACUGUACUUCAACAAGACUUAGAUACAGUUAUGGUUACCAUGUAUAUAGUCUGUUGGCUCGUCUUUCUAGCACGGCUGCAAACUCCCUUAGAAGACAACUGAUCUCAUUCUUCCUGCUUCCCAGAGGUGAGCCCAGCCCUUAGGACCAAGGAAUGGCUCUGUAAAUGCCGGUGGAUUAAAGGUGAC